GACGAACGCUGGCGGCGUGCUUAACACAUGCAAGUCGAACGGAAAGGCCCCUUCGGGGGUACUCGAGUGGCGAACGGGUGAGUAACACGUGAGUAACCUGCCCUUGACUUCGGGAUAACUUCGGGAAACUGGGGCUAAUACCGGAUAGGAAUCCUUGCUGCAUGGUGGGGGUUGGAAAGCUUCGGCGGUUUUGGAUGGACUCGCGGCUUAUCAGCUUGUUGGUGGGGUAGUGGCUUACCAAGGCUUUGACGGGUAGCCGGCCUGAGAGGGCGACCGGCCACAUUGGGACUGAGAUACGGCCCAGACUCCUACGGGAGGCAGCAGUGGGGAAUAUUGCACAAUGGGCGGAAGCCUGAUGCAGCAACGCCGCGUGCGGGAUGACGGCCUUCGGGUUGUAAACCGCUUUCAGCAGGGGCGAAGCUUGUGGUGACGGUACCUGCAGAAGAAGCACCGGCUAACUACGUG
rnacentral:rRNA from 1 species